UACGUAGGGGGCAAGCGUUGUCCGGAAUUACUGGGCGUAAAGAGCACGCAGGCGGUUCGUUAAGUCGGCUGUGAAAUUCCCUGGCUCAACUAGGGAGGGUCAGCCGAUACUGGCGGGCUUGAGGGAGGCAGAGGAAAGCGGAAUUCCCGGAGUAGUGGUGAAAUGCGUAGAUACCGGGAGGAACACCAGUGGCGAAGGCGGCUUUCUGGGCUUUUCCUGACGCUGAGGUGCGAGAGCGUGGGGAGCGAACCGG
rnacentral:rRNA from 1 species